rnacentral:rRNA from 1 species
AGAAUGAACGUUGGCGGCGUGGAUUAGGCAUGCAAGUCGUACGGACCGCAAGGUCAGUGGCGUAAGGGUGAGUAAGGCGACGGUAACCAACCCCAUGAUUGGGUAUAGCCGCGGGAAACUGCGGGUAAUCCCCAGCGACGUCAGUAGGAGACAUCUCCCGCUGACCAAAGCUCCGGCGUCGUGGGACGGGCUGUCGUGGUAUUAGGUUGUUGGCGGGGUAACGGCCCACCAAGCCUGCGAUGCCUACCGGGCGUGCGAGCGUGGCCCGGCACACUGGGACUGAGACACUGCCCAGACUCCUACGGGAGGCUGCAGUCGGAGAAUCUUCGGCAAUGGGCGCAAGCCUGACCGAGCGACGCCGCGUGGAGGACGAAGGCCUUCGGGUUGUAAACUCCUGUCGAGGGGGAAGAAGGGCCCGUAAGGGUCUUGACUGAUCCCUGGAGGAAGCACGGGCUAAGUUCGUGCCAGCAGCCGC